UGGCUAUAUAUAGGAAGUUCGAGGCC
rnacentral:piRNA from 1 species